UGCUACAGAUGGUUUUGGGAAGUGUAGUGU
rnacentral:piRNA from 2 species